CGACAUAUAUGCCUACGGCGUGUUGUAUUUUCUAGGAAUCAGAUCUCAUAUGCAUUCAAUAACAAUGGUGAUGUUACUCUGGAUGGAGAAGAAAUUGCACUUCCAUUGAAAAGGGAUGGAACUACAAUAUUCAAACAAUCAUCAUAUUUCAUUCAAUUUGAAACAACA